CUUCUAUAAGAAUUACACCUUAAGAAUACUCUAGGCAGUGUUAUUACCAUGGUUACGUUACUUAAAUUAAUAAUACGAAGAAGAGAAUAAUGAGAAAACAACUAAAAGACAAAAUAUAAGGGAAUACAAUAAACAAAGUCAUAAAAUCGUUUUACAAGAAGCUGUUCAUAUAAAUAGUCUUUCUUUUGAAUAUUUUAGGGACUAGCGGACAGGAUAAAUGAGGUCUUGAACAAGAAGAAGAAGGAUGAACACAUGGAUACUGACUUAACACUAAGGGUGCAAACGAGCCGAGCCGAGCUCGAGCUUGACUAGGCUCGAGCUCGAUUAACUUUAUGUCAGCUCGGGCUCGAGCUCGGCUCGAUUCGAGCUUUGUUUUCAAGGCUCGAGCUCGGCUCGUUUGUAUUUUCUCAAGCUCAAGCUUGAGCUCGGCUCGGGCUCGGCUCGUUUAUUAUUUAUUAAUUAAUAUAUUAAAUAAAGACAAUAUAAAUAAUAGACUUUUUAGACUCAUGAGCUCGAUAAGUGAAGCUCGGACUCGAGCUCGUUUACUAAAUAAGCUUAUUUUUAGGUUCGAGGUCGGCUUGUAAACAAGUUUGAAUAAGCUCGGCUCGACUCGGCUCGUUUACACUAAGGCUCGAUAAGGCUCGACGAGCCUAACGAGCUUCACAUGCGAGGCUCGAGCUCGGGCUCGAUAAACAAAUGAGCUUUAUUUUAGGCUCAAGCUCGGCUCGGGCUCGAUAAGGCUCGGCUCGUUUCGAGCUUUUUCUCGAGCCGAUCUCGCUCGCGAGCCGCUCGGCUCGUUUGCACCCCUACUUAACACGCACUGAUAUCGCAUCAAACAUUCCAGACAUUUCAAUUUAAGAGGAGUAAAUCUCUCUGGGCUUGAUCUUUCUAACCUGGUAUGGUCAAAUACAUUUUGUAAUGCGAGUAUGCGACUCAAGAUUAAUUGUCAAAUCAUGUGUAUUACAAAUUUGUAAGAUACUUGAUGUUAGUUUAAUCUCUUAAUUUUAGAAGUAUGAAUUUGUUAUUGUUUUUGUUUCAUUAUGUGAUUCUUUGUGGCCAUUGUAGAUAAAAAAUUUAGUUAGCUAUCAUGACCUAGACAAAUAGAAAGUCACAACAUGCCAGUAGUAAAUGUUUUACUAAACUUAUUUUUCCCGUUAUUACUUAUGCACGACUUCUCGGGUUUUGACUUGAGCGGUGCAUGCCUCAAAAACGUUAUCUUAUCAAGUGCUAAUCUUCGUUGUGCUAAAUUUCAUUAAAAGUUUUGGGAAAAAUUUUUGACUUGGUAUGUUUUGAUUCACAGGGGCUAGUCUCAAUUCUGCUAGUCUUAUCAAUGCAAAUUUACAAGGCAAUAAUCUCUUAUUUUCAAUCUGUUAAAUUCACUUUUAGAUGCUUGCCUGAUAAAGUGUUCUUUCAACAGGGUAGACCUGCAACUUGCACAUCUCCAGGCUGCUGAUCUAACGGGUGCAUAUUUGGAGGGAGCCAAUCUAGAAGUAGCCCAUCUAGAAGUAGCCCAUCUAGAAGGAGCCAAUUUAAAGGUUUAUUAAAUAUUAAAUGUUUAAGUUUGAAGAGUUGAACUUAGUUAUCGUGCGGCUUUUCUGCUGCGAUGUGCAUACAAUACAGUGCUGCUGCUGAGGCGUUCGUGUGGUGCAGUCGCCACUGUUGCGUGCUUCGCUGCUGCUGCGGCUGUUUGAUGAGCUUGAUUAACCGCUAGCAUUAACUUUUUAUCUCUCCUCUUAAUAAAUCAAUAAUCAUAGGGAGCUUGCAAAAGAUUUUGUGGUGGCUGGUACUGCAUCAGAGUCUCUAUAUCGGUAAAGGAACUGGGUCAAUUGGUCAAAUUGGUCGAUGCUUAUUACCCAAUCCUAAAAAGCGCAAGCCGGUUUCGACUUAGGCUCGUAAGAUUUAAACUAAUAAAAUUGGUGAGCCAAGCUCAAGCCAAGAUUUGACUUGUUUAAGCGAUAUUAAAGCGAGCUCAAGCUGAGCUUUUAGCUUAUUUGAGACAAUAUCCAUUUAUCUUCUAGCACUUGAAUUGUAGCUUACAAUUGGAUAUUGUUAUCUUUACAACCAACUUGACCCGUUAUUAGUUUUCAUUAAUUUUGAAUUCUUUGAUUUAAUUCAUUGGUUGUUUUGUAGAUUGAAAAGUUGAACUUAGUUAUUAAGGAGCUCGUUAAGGAAAAUGAUGAAGAAAAAGAAAGGCUAAAUGGAAUUAUUGCCGGGUUGUUGGCUGAAAAAGAAAAAGAUAAGGUGGAUAAAUAUGCUAUGCUCGAUACGAUGUCACAAAUUGAAGCUAUGUUAACAAGUACAAUUUGAAGAUAGGCUACAAACACUUGGUUUUGAAUGUUUAUCGUAUUAGGAUUUUUUAGUUAUUUGAUGUUUUAGCUGGUAUUCUAUCAGAAUGUUUUAUACGCUUUUGAUACACAUGUUUUAUAUAAUUUUGGGUUUUCGUGAUCUUA